GAUGAAGAACGUAGCGAAAUGCGAUAAGUAGUGUGAAUUGCAGAAUUCAGUGAAUCAUCGAAUCUUUGAACGCACAUGGCGCCUUCCAGUAUCCUGGGAGGCAUGCCUGUCCGAGCGUCGUUUCAACCCUCGAGCCCCCGUGGCCCGGCGUUGGGGAUCUGCCCAGGCAGUCCCCGAAAACCAGUGGCGGACCCGUUACAGGCCCUUCCCUUGCGUAGUAGCAUUCGCCUCGCAUCGGGAGCCGGCGGGCUUCCAGCCUCUAAACCCCCAUCAAGUCCGCCCCGGCGGCACCAAGGUUGACCUCGGAUCAGGUAGGAAUACCCGCUGUACUUAAGCAUAUCAAUAAGCGGAGGA
rnacentral:misc_RNA from 1 species